AGGGGCGAUCCUUCCAAACGAAAAACAGGGGACGAAUGCGAGUGAAGCCUCCCUGCCAUCCCGUGACCAAAGGUUGCCGGUUGCCGGCCGACCUGCCGCAGCGCAGCCUGCGACUAGUCCACGUCCAGCGACCGAUUUCACUCCUACUCCACCGCGCUGGCAUUGUCCGCCCCUUCCCCUCUCUCCUUCCUUGGCCAAUCUCCUGUGGCUGCUGCCGCUAUAGCCGUGAACCAGACGCGAGCCGCCGCCUCGACCCUCGUGGCCUCGUGCGCCCGUGGCCUGUUCGACGGAAUUCCCCGCCGGGGCGCCUCGCGGCGGUGGUUCGGCUUCCGGCGCCGAGGAUGCUCUUGUGGGCGUACGUGGGCAUCCUGGCACGCGGAGCCAGGCCCAACGCGUACACGUUCCUGCCAUAAUGCCAUUGCUCAACGCGGCGGAGCAGCGGGGUGUGGAGCCGGCUGUCGGGACGCCAUUCACGCGCAAUUCGUGGCUAAGUUUGGGCUAGAGCUCAAUGCCCGCUUGCCAAAGCUCUCUGGUCCUCACUGUGAGGAGGCUAUCCAUAUGUUUUACAGAAUGCUCCAGAUGAAGGGACAGUCAUCAGUGCCUAGUGAAACCAGUUAUACCUGAUGAGGGACGAGAAGCCACAGAAGCCACUAAAGGUCAGCCUCGGGAUACCGAGCUCCCUUGCGAUGUCACCAGUCCACCAGUGAAUCAGGUCAGAUAUGAUGCAGCUUGGAGGCGAGUGCUGCUGCUCACGGAGGUAUGCCUUGAGCAGUUCCUGAAGCGCAGCGAUGGCAUCCAUGAAAUUGGAGAGCAGAUCCGUGGAUUGGAUCAUGUCUAGGUUCUCGAACCCGUCCGGUAGGCCGAACUCGGCGCUCGGGAAGUGGAGCUCCAUGAGCCGAACUGUCAGGCCCGCUGCCUCCACAUCGGCUGCAAAGCCUGCCAACCUGGAGGCAUUCACUGGCGUGGUGAUGAAGCUAACCUGCGCGCCGUGCUCUGCCAGCAGGCGCGCCAUAUCGGUCAUGGGGAUUGUGUGCCCCUGCGCUAGCAUCGGUACCAGCACGAAGUGGGCCCUUGCAGAGCCGCUCUGGCCAUCGGUGCUGCCGGUGAAAGUCAUGGCUGAUCGGCUAUUGUCGUGAAAGUACUGGUGGUGGAGUCAGUUGAACUGGGAGGACAGUGACACCGGCAAGAUAGCACGAUGUGUUGGACACAAUCUGAUGAUGGUUGCAAUGGCAACUAGUGUUUAUAUAUAGCACCUGGUGCUAUAUCUUCCUAUGACGAGCCGUCGAUGCAACAGCGUAUCAAAUUGGUCACCUCUUGCUAGUGACGCAUGCUCUUACGUCAGUCAUGAACUCCUGGGGUCAGCCAUGUGGAUGAAUCUUCUUAAGUUCUGGAUCGUCAGAAUCCAGGCCAUCCAAUCAGACAUCGGAUGGCUCAGAUUAACCAUCCCUACCACCUAUCACACUCAAAGAGGAGUCGUUUUACAGGAUUUGAAUGAUCCUCAUGUCUGAUGCUGACUUGUUGUAUAUGCACAUCACUUAACUCCGAAGGCUGUGGAAGGCCAGGCCAGCCGAUUCUGCAUAUAAUUCUUCCUAUGACGAGCCGUCGAUGCAACAGCGUAUCAAAUUGGUCACCUCUUUGCUAGUGACGCAUGCUCUUACGUCAGUCAUGGACUCCUGGGGUCAGCCAUGUGGAUGAAUCUUCUUAAGUUCUGGAUCGUCAGAAUCCAGGCCAUCCGAUCAGACAUCGGAUGGCUCAGAUUAACCAUCCCUACCGCCUAUCACGCUCAAAGAGGAGUCGUUUUACAGGAUUUGAAUGAUCCUCAUGUCUGAUGCUGACUUGUUCUCCCAAGGCUGUGGAAGGCCAGGCUAGCCGAUUCUGCAUAUAAUGUGAGGGUGCAUUAUUUUCUAUAUUGAGAUUCAGUGUACUGUGACAGCGGGUGGAAUUUUCUUGUCCGUUCUCCGACCGUCUCACUCGAGUCAAAGAUCAAUGUCUGUUCCCUUUCAGAGUUUUGUUUGAGAAGCUGAAAAGAACUUUCAGUGAUAUCUCCAUUUUUGGAGCGACGCAAUGCAUCCUAAUCAACACAGUGACUUCCUGACGCAAAGAGGGACGAGAAGCCACAAAAGCCACUAAAGGUGAGCCUCGGGAUGCCGAGCUCCCUUGCAAUGUCGCCGGUCCACCAGUGCAUCAUGUCAGAUAUGAUGCAGCUAGGAGGCGAGCGCUGCUGCUCACGGAGGUACGCCAUGAGCGGCUCCUGAAGCGCAGCACAGGCCUCCAUGAAGUUCAGGAACAAAUUCUUUGAUUGGAUCAUGUCGAGGUUCUCGCAUCCAUCCGGUAG